AGGAUGAACGCUGGCGGAGUGCCUAAUACAUGCAAGUCGAGCGGCAGCGCGAGUAGUUUACUACUUGGCGGCGAGCGGCGGACGGCUGAGUAACGCGUGGGAACGUGCCCCAAAGUGAGGAAUAACUGCCCGAAAGGGUAGCUAAUGCCGCAUAUGAUCUUCGGAUUAAAGGAUUUAUCCGCUUUGGGAGCGGCCCGCGUCAGAUUAGGUAGUUGGUGAGGUAAAGGCUCACCAAGCCGACGAUCUGUAGCUGAUCUGAGAGGAUGAUCAGCCAGACUGGGACUGAGACACGGCCCAGACUCCUACGGGAGCAGCAGUAAGGAACUC
rnacentral:rRNA from 1 species